UACGUAGGGGGCAAGCGUUGUCCGGAUUUAUUGGGCGUAAAGAGCGUGUAGGCGGCUAGGUAGGUCCGUUGUGAAAACUCGAGGCUCAACCUCGAGACGUCGAUGGAAACCAUCUAGCUAGAGUCCGGAAGAGGAGAGUGGAAUUCCUGGUGUAGCGGUGAAAUGCGCAGAUAUCGGGAGGAACACCAAUGGCGAAGGCAGCUCGCUGGGACGGUACUGACGCUGAGACGCGAAAGCGUGGGGAGCAAACAGG
rnacentral:rRNA from 1 species